rnacentral:rRNA from 1 species
CUUUACGGAUCACAUUAUGUGACAUAUCAUUCAAGUUUCUGACCUAUCAGCUUUAGACGGUAGGGUAUUGGCCUACCGUGGCUAUGACGGGUAACGGGGAAUUAGGGUUCGAUUCCGGAGAGGGAGCCUGAGAAACGGCUACCACAUCUAAGGAAGGCAGCAGGCGCGCAAAUUACCCAAUCCUAAUACAGGGAGGUAGUGACAAGAAAUAACAAUACAGAGCCUUACGGUUUUGUAAUUGGAAUGAGUUAAGUAUAAACCCCUUAACAAGUAUCAAUUGGAGGGCAAGUCUGGUGCCAGCAGCCGCGGUAAUUCCAGCUCCAAUAGCGUAUAUUAAAGUUGUUGCAGUUAAAAAGCUCGUAGUUAAUUUUCUGUUAAUUUUUAUAUACAAUGYUACGGUAUUUAUAUAAUAUUAACAUAAUUCAUAUUACUUUUUAGUAUAUGAAACUUUACUUUGAGAAAAUUAGAGUGCUUAAAGCAGGCUAUUGCCUUGAAUACUCCAGCAUGGAAUAAUAUUAAGGAUUUUUAUUCUUCUUAUUGGUUCUAGAAUAAAAAUAAUGAUUAAUAGGGACAGUUGGGGGCAUUUGUAUUUAACAGUCAGAGGUGAAAUUCUUAGAUUUGUUAAAGACAAACUACUGCGAAAGCAUUUGCCAAGGAUGUUUUCAUUAAUCAAGAACGAAAGUUAGGGGAUCGAAGACGAUCAG